AUGACUCACCUGUCCUCUAUCCGAACCCAGAGGUCAUUGAACUGCCGCUGGCGAUGGUGUUUGUGCUGCUUCUUGUGCCAUUUCUUCUGCCUGCCAAACUCCUCCAGCUGGCUGAUGCUGUCAGGCAGCAAGAGAAAACAAGUCAUUGUUUCAACUGCAACAAGAAUGAUGUCUUCUCAUCCAGUCAGGACUGGGGACAAGGAAGCCUAGGCUGAUGAUGGAAGCACGUGGAAGCUUGGCAGCUGGGAUGGGAUAUGUGAGACCUGAACUCCAGCAGGUAAUGAAGAAAAAAGGGGUAAAUGACCUGUCCAAAACCUCCUUGAAACAAUUCUGCCAGAGCUCCUCAAUCCUUUCUGAAGUAUUACCACCUCUUGUACAUGACUGGAAUGAUGCAGAAAAAGACCUUUUAUUUUCAUCUUCUAGAGUUUCACUGAUUUUAGAAGAAAGUCAAUAUAAACUCUCUCCCUUGGUAUGCAGCCAUGUGAACUUAUUGUGAGCUAAGAUAGCUGAAACAAAAACCUAAUAAACCAGGAAUGACAUAAAGUUAUUUUUCUCCCCUACCUUCAGUAGAAGUUCAUAUUGAGUCUUAAUUGCAAGAAAUUUUCCUGUCCCUGGGAUGGGCCAAUGAGUUGUACAUACAGAAAAUGGGAGAGAAUUAAUAGGCAAUAUGAAGCUGUGGUCUGCAAAACUAUUUCUAUUACAUGGAUGCUAUGACUUUUAUGACAGAAACAAUUAAAGCCACGUGAAAAA